rnacentral:rRNA from 1 species
UACGAGGGGGGCAAAUGUUGUUCGGAAUCACUGGGCGUAAAGGGAGCGUAGGCGGGUUUCUAAGUCAGGUGUUUAAUCCCGGGGCCCAACCCCGGACAGGCACUUGAAACUGGAAAUCUUGAAUAGUGGAGAGGUCAGUGGAAUUGGGGGUGUAGCGGUGGAAUGCGUAGAGAUCCCCAAGAACACCAGUUGCGAAGGCGGCUCACUGGCCCGAUACUGACGCUGAGGCACGAAAGCCAGGGGAGCAAACGGG